GGGGACAUGGCGGAAUCGGUAGACGCACCGGACUUAAAAUCCGGAGGCCGCAAGGCUGUGGGGGUUCGAGUCCCCCUGUCCCUACCA
rnacentral:tRNA from 1 species